rnacentral:rRNA from 1 species
UAACCUGCCCAAGAGAUCGGGAUAACACCUGGAAACAGAUGCUAAUACCGGAUAACAACAGAUGAUGCCUAUCAACUGUUUAAAAGAUGGUUCUGCUAUCACUCUUGGAUGGACCUGCGGUGCAUUAGCUAGUUGGUAGGGUAACGGCCUACCAAGGCGAUGAUGCAUAGCCGAGUUGAGAGACUGAUCGGCCACACUGGGACUGAGACACGGCCCAAACUCCUACGGGAGGCAGCAGGG